GUUGUGUUGAAGAGAAGAAAUAUCUUUUGGAGAGAUUUAAAAAGUUUAGUGAAAUAUGUCCUCUUGAAGGGACAUGUGGAUGUAGCCCGAUUGUUGUGAAAUUUACUACCUUUGGAAAUUAUCAUGAUCGUAAUUUUGGAAUCGUAAAUUGGGAAGAACCAGAAGACUUCACAUGUUCACAUAAGUACA